CCCGCCCUUUUGCCUCCGCUCCUGGGGCCCCGCCCCCAGAGCCGGGCCGGCGUGCUUUGCGUCCCGGCCCCGCCCCCAAGAGUCCAGCCCUUUUGCCUCCGCCCUCGGAGCCCCGACCCCAGAGCUGGCCGGUGAGCUUUGCGCCCGGCCCGGCCUCACUCUGCGCACGUGCUUGGCGUCCCGGGCUGCGGCGGAGGCGGAGGUGAGCGCGCGGAGCGGGCCGGGCCGACGUGCGGCUGCGGGCGGCCUCCCUCGAAGGCACAGAUUGUUGCGUGUGUGUUCACUGAGAGCACAGACACCCUCUGGUGGGCCGCUGUCACGUGCCCAUCUGACCCGUGGGGAAGGCGAUGCAGAGACAGAGCUGGAGCCUGUGCUCUGACUACGGUUUACAGAGGUGGCAGCCCUCAUGGCAGGUCCCCUGUGGCGGGCCACAGCCUUUGUGCAGAGACACAGGACGGCCCUGUUGGUGGGUUCCUGUGCAGGCCUGCUUGGGGCUCAGCUCUCGUACCACCUCUUCCCGGAUCCUGUGGUCCCGUGGCUGUACCAGUACUGGCCUCAGGGCCAGCCAGCCCCCCUGUCCCCAGAGCUGCAGAGCCUGUUCCAGGAGGUGCAGCAGGACAUCGGGGUCCCCUCGGGCCACCGCUUCGAGGCCUUCACCACCUUCACCUUCCAGCCUGUGAGCGCCGGCUUCCCGAGACUCCCUGCCGGGGCCGUGGUGGGCAUCCCCGCCAGCUUCCUGGAUGGCCCUGUGACCAACGCUGACCGGCCCGUGGUCGUCCACGGGCAGCGAGUGGACUGGCAGAGCCCAGCGGGCGCCCGGCUGAGGGAUGCCCUGACCCUGUCCCACGACGCCCAGAAGUUCGCCUUGGCCAGGGAGGUGGUGUACCUGGAGAGCGGGGCGGCCGCCCUGCAGGCCCUGCCGGCCCCCGCCUGCGUGGCGGGCACCUGGGCGCUGGGUGUGGGGGCCAAGCACGCCCUGGGGCUCUACGGAGGCCCCAUGAACUUGCGGGCCGCCUUCAACUUGGUGGCGGCAGUGGCGGGCUUCGUGGCCUAUGCCUUGUCCGCGGACUCUCUCACUCACGCCCUGGAAGCCUGGCUGGACCGCCGCACGGCCUCGCUGUCUGCAGCCUAUGCCCGGGGCGGGGUGGAGUUCUACGAGAAGGUUCUGUCGGGCAACCUGGCCCUGCGCGGCCUCCUGGGCUCGCCCGGAGAGAAGCUGUACACGCCCAGCGGGAACGUGGUUCCCAGACACUGGUUCCGCAUCAAACACCUGCCCUACACGGCCCGCCGGGACUCGGUGCUGCAGGCGUGGAGGGCGGCGCUCGGCCCCGGCCCCGGCAGCCCCUGAGGGCCUCGUGGCAGGGGCGGUUCCAGCUGGAGCAGACACGUGCUUUGAUGAAGCGUCUUGCCGCGCUGGACAGGCCCACGUGGCACGGAAGUAAGGGCGGUCUCUGAGCCACAGCUGGCGGAGCAGUGAGGCCCUCAGUCCAGCAGCCCACAGGGAGCUGAAUCCUGACAACAGCCGUGUGAGCUUGGAAGAAAAUCCCUCCCCAGUCAGGUCUCAGAUGAGACCUCAGCCUUGGCCGGCGCCUUCACUGCAGCCCGUGACACCCCGAAGCAGAGGACACAGCUAAGCUAUGCCUGGAUCCCCAACCCACAGAAAUACUGAGACGGUCUGCCACUGUGCCCCGGCCCUCUGGAAAGACAGCCAGAUAUACAGAGCAGAAAGCAGAAUAAAAGCAGUCGCUUCCUCCCAGACCGUUAGGGGAAGAGAGUCACUGGGAGCGGACGAAAGAUCUGGGAGGAAACCACCAGAGAGUGAGAGCUGAUUCCCUGCGGGAGGAACUGGAGCGGAGCUGUCCUUUCAGAAAACCGGGUGCCCCUGUGAAGUGAUGGAGCCACAGACGGAUUCCCGGGAAUCCAGAGGUAACCAGCGAAGGAGUCUGCUAGCGGGAACGUGGGCCCUCGCGGUGGGGACUCCCUGGGUGCUGCCUGCAAGGACAGAUGACUAAGAGGCGGCCUGGUGGCUGCACACCACCUGUCUUGGCUUCAUGAGCAUUCCCUCUUCCCUCUACCUGCCUCGAGGACAUAAUCCCAAGGAGAGGACAGACAGAAACCCUGAAAUGACUGAAAUCAAGUUACUACAAAUACUUGGUGAAAUUGGAGUUCAAAAACAGAGCAAAAUAAAUUUACUUUUCUUGACCUGGGUCAGAGACAAGCAAAAACACUACAGGGAAAAGGGGCAUAGAUUACACUGGGGUGUUGGGGGUAUGUGGUCAUGGAAGGCUUCCUGGAGGAGGUGAGGCUGGAUCAAAAAUUGAAGGUUCUUGGGACUUGAAGAACCUGGUGGUGCAGUGGUUAAGACUCGCGUUCCCAAUGCAGGGGGCCAGGGUUCAAUCCCUGCUGAGGGAACUGGAUCCCACGUGCAUGCUGCAACUAAGAGUUUGCAUGCCACAACUAAGGAGCCAGUGAGCCGCAACUAAGACCCGG